rnacentral:rRNA from 1 species
AGUCUUAGGGUAAAUAAUCUAAGGUUUAACCUGCCCAAUGUAUAUUAAGAUUAAUGGCCGCGGUACUUUGACCGUGCUAAGGUAGCAUAAUCAAUUGGCUUUUAAAUGGGGUCAGGAAUGAAUGGAUUUAACGUAGCUUAGCUGUCUCUAAGAUAAUUAAUCGAAGUUACUAUGCAGAUGAAAAAGUCUGUUUUAAGAAAAAAGACGAGAAGACCCUUAGAGUUUUUCUUAAAAUUAAAUAGAAAAUAUUUAUGACGGUUUAGUUGGGGCAACUUAGGAACAAAAGUAAUAAUUAAUUUAUUUAAUUAUUUGUUAACCUCCUAAAUUAAAUUAGACGGUUAUUUAAAGUUUAAAUAAACUACCUUAGGGAUAACAGCAUUAUGUAAAAAAUAAGUUUGUGACCUCGAUGUUGGACUGGGAAACUAAAAGGCUAGUCGUUUUUUAGGAAAGUUCUGUUCGAACUAAUAUUCCC